GAGUUUGAUCAUGGCUCAGGAUGAACGCUAGCGGCAGGCCUAAUACAUGCAAGUCGAACGGUAACAUGAGUAGCAAUACUUGAUGACGAGUGGCGCACGGGUGCGUAACGCGUAUGCAAUCUACCUUUAACCGGUGAAUAGCCCGAAGAAAUUCGGAUUAAUACACCAUAGUAUGGUGAGGAGGCAUCUCCUUAUCAUUAAAGUUCCGACAGUUAAAGAUGAGCAUGCGUGACAUUAGCUAGUUGGUAAGGUAACGGCUUACCAAGGCAACGAUGUCUAGGGGAUCUGAGAGGAUUAACCCCCACACUGGUACUGAGACAGGGACCAGACUCCUACGGGAGGCAGCAGUAAGGAAUAUUGGACAAUGGUGGCAACACUGAUCCAGCCAUGCCGCGUGAAGGAUGAAGGCCCUAUGGGUUGUAAACUUCUUUUGUACGGGAAAAAACCUUCUUACGUGUAAGAGCUGAUUGUACUGUAAGAAUAAGGAUCGGCUAACUCCGUGCCAGCCGCCGCC
rnacentral:rRNA from 1 species